rnacentral:rRNA from 1 species
UAUGGCUCAGGAUGAACGCUAGCGACAGGCUUAACACAUGCAAGUCGAGGGGCAUCACGGGAGUAGCAAUACAACUGGUGGCGACCGGCGCACGGGUGAGUAACGCGUAUGCAACCUACCUAUCAGAGGGGAAUAAACCCGGCGAAAGUCGGACUAAUACCGCAUAAAACAGGGGCACCGCAUGGUGAUAUUUGUUAAAGAAAUUCGCUGAUAGAUGGGCAUGCGUUCCAUUAGGUAGUUGGUGAGGUAACGGCUCACCAAGCCGACGAUGGAUAGGGGAACUGAGAGGUUGGUCCCCCACACUGGUACUGAGACACGGACCAGACUCCUACGGGAGGCAGCAGUGAGGAAUAUUGGUCAAUGGGCGGGAGCCUGAACCAGCCAAGUCGCGUGAAGGAAAGAAGGAUCUAUGGUUCGUAAACUUCUUUUGCAGGGGAAUAAAGUGCAGGACGUGUCCUGUUUUGUAUGUACCCUGAGAAUAAGGAUCGGCUAACUCCGUGCCAGCAGCUGC